AUUGAACGCUGGCGGAAUGCUUUACACAUGCAAGUCGAACGGCAGCACGGGGGCAACCCUGGUGGCGAGUGGCGAACGGGUGAGUAAUACAUCGGAACGUGCCAGUCGUGGGGGAUAACGUAGCGAAAGUUACGCUAAUACCGCAUACGAUCUCAGGAUGAAAGCGGGGGACCGUAAGGCCUCGCGCGAUUGGAGCGGCCGAUGUCAGAUUAGGUAGUUGGUGAGGUAAAGGCUCACCAAGCCUGCGAUCUGUAGCUGGUCUGAGAGGACGACCAGCCACACUGGGACUGAGACACGGCCCAGACUCCUACGGGAGGCAGCAGUGGGGAAUUUUGGACAAUGGGCGCAAGCCUGAUCCAGCCAUUCCGCGUGCAGGACGAAGGCCUUCGGGUUGUAAACUGCUUUUGUACGGAACGAAAAGCCUUGGGCUAAUACCCCGAGGUCAUGACGGUACCGUAAGAAUAAGCACCGGCUAACUACGUGCCAGCAGCCGCCGUAA
rnacentral:rRNA from 1 species